UUUCCGUAGGUGAACCUGCGGAAGGAUCAUUAUUGUAUAACCGAGGUGCGAGGGCUGUCGCUGACCCGAAAGGUCGUGCACGCCCGAGUGCCCUCACACACAUCCAUCUCACCCCUAUGUGCACCUCCGCGUGGGUCCCCCUUUGGCUUGUUCGGAGGGGGGCUUACGUUUUCACACAAACUUUGUAUGCAGUGUAGAAUGUAUUUUUUGUUUUUGCGAUCACGCAAUCAAUACAACUUUCAACAACGGAUCUCUUGGCUCUCGCAUCGAUGAAGAACGCGGC
rnacentral:misc_RNA from 1 species